CGAUAUGGUUUGGUGUGUGUGACGAAAUAUACUUAGAUGACAGCGCGUAUACUGACGCGCCUAAGAAUAUUUCGUUCAGAAUAAAUGAAAAGAUGAGCAAAUAGUUCGAAAGUUCGAAGAAAAAUUUAGUAACAUGUUCAUAUAUUUUUUUAUGAAGUGGAAUUUUUGGUGGACUACUAUAAUUAUAAAUCAAGUUUCGUUAUUACAUGUUAUAUAGAAGAUAAGUACAUUAAAUGUAUGGUAGCUUGUGAAUGCACAGAAGACAAGACGCGUGGGAAGAUUAAAAAAAUUGAAUCUUAAACAUAGACAAACAAAUUGAAAAAGAAAAAGACUGAAAGUGAGCAUUUCAUAAUAUAAAUCAGAAUGGAUGAAUGUAUGCUGAAUGAUUUAUUAGAAUGCUCGGUGUGUCUCGAACGAUUAGAUACAUCGAGCAAAGUACUUCCUUGUCAGCAUACCUUUUGCAAGAAAUGUUUGGAAGAGAUAGUUAACACUCAUCAUGAAUUACGCUGCCCUGAAUGUCGCAUUUUAGUUGAUGUUAAAGUGGAUGAUUUACCUCCUAAUGUAUUACUAAUGCGUAUUUUAGAAGGAAUGCGUAAUGCAGCUCCUAAAUCUACAAAAUCUAUAAUUAAAAAUAAUCCAGGACCUCAAAGACUCUUUGGUGGCCAUCAAAUUACUUCAGCUCCCAUUGUAACUAAUAGUCCUACUCCUACUACAUUCACAAAUGAACCAAUUAGACAUGGUAAUGCAACAGCGAAACAAGUUCACUUACACAAUCAAACAUAUGGCAGAGCGAUCUACGAUUAUGUAUCAAAAGUCCCAGGAGAUUUAUCUUUUAAAAAAGGUGACAUUGUCAUUUUACGUAAGAAAAUCGAUAAUAAUUGGUGUUUUGGAGAAAGUGCUAAUAGUCAUGGAGUUUUUCCUUUGUCUUAUGUCCAAAUAAUGACACCAUUGACUCCAGAUGUUCCUCAGUGCAAAGCUUUAUAUGAUUUUAGAAUGACCAAUGAUGAUGAAGAUGGCUGUCUGACAUUCAAUAAGGGAGAAAUUAUUAGUGUUAUUAGAAGAGUUGAUGAAAAUUGGGCAGAAGGAAAACUAUUGGAUAGAAUUGGUAUCUUUCCAUUAGCUUUUGUGGAAUUGAAUAGUGUGGCAAGAGCUUUAAUGAAACUUUCAACAAACACACAACCAGGUCCAUCAAGGGUAGCACCUCCUACUCCCACUAAUGAAGAAACUACACCUUUAAUACCAACUGAUCAUUCGCGUAAUUUACAAACAAAUCAAUCACGAUCACAACUUAUGCAGAAUACAAUUUUACCAGUUUCUGAUUCAAUUUCAAAUGUAUCAUCAGGAGGUAGUUCUUCAACUACUACUCCAAACACUCCUAAUAGUUCAACUACAUCUAGCAGUUCUAGUACUGCUCCAAGUAGUCCUAGUAGUCCAGCAACAUCUCCUCCUGCAGUUGGAAAUAGACAGAAUAUUAAACGUCACAGUUUCACUGCUGUUAAUACUGGUCAUCAACCUCAUCCACAUCAUAGACAUAGUGCAGAAAUACUUAGUCCCCCAGUAGAUAAUGCCGUUGGUAACAGUAAUGAUUCAUUUUCUUCGUUACAGACAACUACCAACACUGCAGAUCACAAUCUUCGUCACAGGCGAAGCGGUAGUAGUGAUCUUGCUCUUGCACAAUCAUCACAAAUUUUGUCUACUACUACAGUCGCAAAUGCUCAUUUACCAGCUGCAUAUAUAGCUCUGUAUCCAUAUAAGCCUCAAAAAGCAGAUGAACUUGAAUUAAGAAAAGGAGGCAUUUAUAUGGUAACAGAACGUUGUCAAGAUGGAUGGUUUAAAGGAACUUCUAAUCGUACACAAAAAUGUGGAGUUUUUCCAGGAAAUUAUGUUGCACCUGCUAAAUGUCAGCGAAGUUUGUGUCGAGGAUCACCAAAUACAGGACAGCAUCAAAACUUUCCAUCUUCAACAAGUCAAAAUAAUACUGAGUCACGAAUAACUGCAACUUAUUCUAAAAAUAAAGGAUCCACUUCUCAAUCUUAUAAUCCACGCACAUUAUUACCACCAGAAUUACCACCACGUGCUAUUAGUCCAUCUUUUAUGGUAUCAUCAUCUUGGCAUGGUCAAAGUCAAAUGCAAAAUCAAGAAAGUAGUCCUCCACGAUACAAGGAACAAAAUUCAGCAAAUCCUCUUGGACGUAGUCAUAGUGCUGUCAUGUCACCAAAUAUUUCUUCUCCUGGAAAACAGGUAACUUUACCUCAAUCAUUAAUGACUACAACCACAGUUACUGGUAUCAACAAUAGUGGUACUAUUGUUACUGGUGCUGGUUCUUCCAUCAUAAACGAAAUGAAUAAAAAUCCAAAUAGUAUUUUGCAUGCUGUAGCUUCUCCUUCUUCCACUGCAGUAGUUUCUGUACCUAAAAAUAGCGAAAAGCAGAAAGAAAAAAAAGAUAAAUGUGUCUCUUUGAUGCGACGAUUAACGAAUAUUAAGAAAUCAAAAUCACCACCUCCUACUACUUAUUCAAUGGAUAAUCCUGUUUUUGAAGAUAGCAAUUCCAUUAAUCCAGUACAUGUUCGGCUCUGUGCAGGGACAUGUCACAUCUUCACAAAGACUUAAAUACAAGGAGAGACCAUCUUUACCGGUCUCAAUUCUUCAAAGAUCUAAUGAAUCGGGUGGAAUGGUAUGUACACCAAUAGGAAAUCAUCACCGUAAAAGUAAUUCAUUAGAUGCUGGUAUGGGCAAACAAGUCAAACAACAACCUACUCGCGAACGAGAACGAGUAUACAGAUUUCGUUGCAUUGUGCCAUAUCCACCUAAUAGCGAAUUUGAAUUAGAACUUCGAG
rnacentral:misc_RNA from 1 species